GUGUUGAUUGAUCACCACUUCACUUUCGGCUACCCGAAAUACAUGUUGUUGCAACAGACAAUGAAGGUAUCGAAUACGGAGCGGCGUGGGGAUCACUCAGCUGUGAGAUGGGAUGCAAGUGGGCCACAUGUUUCUGUGUACGUCGAGAUCUGUAUCAACUCAUGCAAUAGGGCUGGGCCUAUUGUAGGAGGCCAGUGGCCUGAAAGCAGUGGAAGUAUAGUUUUACCCCAGGUCCAUUUUGGAGCCAUAUUGACAUCAGAGGCGAAGCACCCACCUUGAUGUUGUGGUGCUGAAAUGCUGGACAGCCAACCUAUUAAAAGAAGCAGCAUUGAAGCAGCACAGAGAUAGUGCCUGGCCUCCUGUGCUUCUGCGCCUUUUCCAAGUAUUCGAGGUGGAAAUUCAGCUGGCAAAAGGUCGUUUUGGUGAAUGCCUGUUCCCGUCAUCCUCUAAGAACAGAUAAGUUACUCAUUUAUCUUACAGAAGCGUGCUUAUAUUUCAGUCUAAAUGCAUUCAAAAUGGUAGGAACAACAGGAAGCAGUGCCGCAACCAACAAAAGACUGCUCUGUAAGAGCUGGGAAGAAAAUCUACAGAAAGGCCUUAAGGCCACAUUGAAGCCCUGUGAAAAUUUAAGUACCUCUGCCCAGCUCAAGUGCACAAUGGAGUCUGAUUCUGGGACUCAUUUGGAAGACGAUUGAGUAGAUAAACAUGAAUGGCAGCUACUUCUGAAGUUGGGCACCAUCCUUAAAGAUCUGCCUCUUGAGAGGACUUAUUUAUACUGAAGAAAGACUGGGACACCAGCAACAUUUCUAUGUUGGCCCCAGACUUUAAAACUUGACUGCAGCAAGUGGAAUUCAUCUUCACUCUAUCCACAGAUUAAUGGGUGCUCCCCAUACACCUUGAUAAUCCAACUUCUCCCUUGGCUCCACCCUCAGAGUUCCUUGGCCUACUGGGAUCACUCAGUGGAAAUUCAGAUGCUGCCUGUGCACAGGUAUGCAACGGAGGAGCAAUCAACACUGAGACUGCAAUCUAAAGGGGGGAAGUCUGUAUUACUAGAAGAUGACAUGAAGAAGACAUCAGGACCCUGGACAACACUUAGGGAGAAAAUGGGAGAACAAGAAAGACAACGGAGAGUGCCAUCCAUGACUUUGUGGAUUUUACAGGCUGACCCUGAAGAAAAGUCUCUCACCCACAUUCUAGCUUUUCUGUCCGUUUUUACAAUUUUGUGUAGGUUUCUGUG